rnacentral:rRNA from 1 species
AGUGAACGCUGGCGGUAGGCCUAACACAUGCAAGUCGAACGGCAGCACAGUAAGAGCUUGCUCUUACGGGUGGCGAGUGGCGGACGGGUGAGGAAUACAUCGGAAUCUACUUUUUCGUGGGGGAUAACGUAGGGAAACUUACGCUAAUACCGCAUACGACCUACGGGUGAAAGCAGGGGAUCUUCGGACCUUGCGCGAUUGAAUGAGCCGAUGUCGGAUUAGCUAGUUGGCGGGGUAACGGCCCACCAAGGCGACGAUCCGUAGCCGAUCUGAGAGGAUGAUCGGCCACACUGGAACUGAGACACGGGCCAGACUCCUACGGGAGGCAGCAGUAGGGAGUCUUCCGCAAUGGGCGAAAGCCUGACGGAGCAACGCCGCGUGAGUGAUGAAGGUCUUCGGAUCGUAAGACUCUGUUAUUAGGGAAGAACAAAUGUGUAAGUAACUAUGCACGUCUUGACGGUACCUAAUCAGAAAGCCACGGCUAACUACGUG